AACCAUUCUCACCUGCGGCUAGACCUGCGGAAGGAUCAUUAAAGAGAAAACUGCCCUUUGGGUAGAUCUCCCACCCUUUGUUUACCUUACCUUUGUUGCUUUGGCAGGCCCGUCUUCUGACUACCGGCUUUUAGCUGGUCCGUGCCUGCCAGAGGACCCCCAACUCUUGAUUUCAAGUUGUCCGAGUCUUAUAUAAUAGUAAAAACUUUCAGCAACGGAUCUCAGAUCGGAAGAGCACAC
rnacentral:misc_RNA from 1 species